UACGUAGGGUGCAAGCGUUAAUCGGAAUUACUGGGCGUAAAGCGUGCGCAGGCGGUUUUGUAAGUCUGUCGUGAAAUCCCCGGGCUCAACCUGGGAAUUGCGAUGGAGACUGCAAGGCUAGAAUCUGGCAGAGGGGGGUAGAAUUCCACGUGUAGCAGUGAAAUGCGUAGAGAUGUGGAGGAACACCGAUGGCGAAGGCAGCCCCUGGGUCAAGAUUGACGCUCAUGCACGAAAGCGUGGGGAGCAAAC
rnacentral:rRNA from 1 species